rnacentral:misc_RNA from 1 species
AUAUUUUUACAUGUAAUUUGAUAUUUACAUGUAUUUCACAGGUGAAAAUUUAAUUUUUACCUUUAAAAUUACUUUAUAUAUGUAUUUACUUGUGUUAUAUGCAUACCACACAAACACUUCUUUGCAUGUAUCAAACUAGACCAUCUAAGGAUAACUGCAUAAUUACUAUGUACUGUGAUUGAUAACAAUGAAGGUCAGCGGGCUUCCAAUUGUGCCACAAAAAGCAUGUUUCCAUCCAAUAAGGCUAUCACUUGCAGCGAAGAGUUAGGCUAUCACUUGCAACGAAGAGGUACCUGUGUUGUUUAAGUAUAUUACACAUGUCCAUCAAAAUUUUGCCUUAAAUUGUGUGUAGAUUAGUCUUAAGAAACAAUGUUUUUUAUUUUUAUUUUGCUGUGAAUGUUCAUUAGAAACUUGCAGAUAAGUUUCUGUGGAAACAACCUUGACCAAAGAUAUGUACAUUACGAUUUUAAUGCCACUAAUUAGCAUAUGAUGUGAUUAUGUAUGGAAUGAAGUGAUGAGAAAUGUUUGCCAUUCAUUCUACUUAACAUGUGGAAUACUGAAAAAUCACUGAUAAAUCUCUCUGUAUAUAUUCCUAAUUACACAUAUAUGGACCAUUUUUAGUGUAGAUUUAUACUCACAGUUGUCAGCAUUGACAGAAUAUUUGUACCAUUUCAUUCUUAUCCAUUCCAGACACAAGUAAAGUUACUAUCUGUUUUAUUUUUGUUACACGUUAUAUUGUAUACUUUGUUGGUCUUGUUAAUAUGAAGUAAAAAAGAGAGAGUGAGUGAGUGAGCAAGAGAGAAGUAUUAAUCAGGUGAUCUAUAUUGUAUUUAUUGCAAAAGUUUUGAUGCUUUUAUGUCGUCUUUUUACACAUAUUAUGUACAUACAUGUACAUGUCAUUCCAGUAUGUCCUUUUGCUCUCUCUGUUUCUUUUGAUAUUUUCAUAUUAAGGGUAACUUUUAAUCUAUGUAUUAUGUAUUGUUGUCUACAAAAUGCUGUGCAGGAUUCAAAUUUUCCAUUUUUGAUAUUUUUUUAUUAGUCAAACUAAUGCAAAUUGUUGUUUGAAAAACAUUCACAAUAUCUGAAUACAUGUUGAUAACCAUUACAUCAAAUCAGAAUACAAAAUAAUAUGUGUAUAUAUUUUAGUUCAUAUUUUGGUCGUUAGUGAACUUGGCCACACCUUAUAAGAACAAUAACUCUGUCUAUUUGUCACUUCCUACAUUGUUUCAGCAGCUAAAAUAAAAUAUCUGAUAUAUACAUCUCUGGUGAUAUAUAUAAACUGCUGUUCAGUGCCUCUGGAACACUCUUUCUUUGUCUGCUAAGCCAGCAAGUGCUUGCCAAUCUCUCAAAGAGAUAAGACAGCAUUGAAUUCAUGUGUUUAAUUUGUGGUUAAGUUGGGUUCUUCUUCAAUUAGUGCUAAGCUCGUAAGUCCCUGUACUUUAGAUUUGAUAUGAAUUAAUUAAUUUCUAUUCAAAAUGUAUUGUUUAGAAACAAUUCUAGCUGUUUUGAUUCAUUGGAUUCAAGAAAUAAGUGUACUAACUAACAUACUGUCUUAUUUGAAUACUAUUAAUAUGUCAUUUCAAUAAUGUACAUGUAUAUAACAAUUAUCUUUUAUCAUCUCUAUCAAUAAUACAUUGAUAUUCAUAGUGUAUAUCAUGAAAUUUCUUUAAUUUUAAUUCUAAAGUGUAAUGGGCUUUUUUUAAAGCAGAGAGUUAUCCCGAGUGGAUUUGUAACAAUCAAAGCAUGCUAUGAAUAUGACUAAUUGUUAUUUUAUCAAUAACAGAAAAGAGUGUCAACAUUUUUGUUGGAGAGCAGUUUGAAGGCAUUUUCAUGUGUGAAUGUCAGAUUUGUUUUGUAUAUAUACAUAUUUUUAUAUCUACAAAAAUGUACAUGCAUAGUCACAUUUUUAUAAUAUAAAUAUGUCAUUUCAUAAGA